rnacentral:tRNA from 3 species
GGGGCUGUAGCUCAACUGGAUAGAGCAUCAGACUACGAAUCUGAGGGUUGUGGGUUCGACUCCCGCCAGCCCCGCCA